UACGGAGGAUGCAAGCGUUAUCCGGAAUGAUUGGGCGUAAAGCGUCCGCAGGUGGCUGUGUAAGUCUGCUGUCAAAGAGCAAAGCUCAACUUUGUAAAGGCAGUGGAAACUACACGGCUAGAGUGCGUUCGGGGCAGAGGGAAUUCCUGGUGUGGCGGUGAAAUGCGUAGAGAUCAGGAAGAACACCGGUGGCGAAGGCGCUCUGCUAGGCCGCAACUGACACUGAGGGACGAAAGCUAGGGGAGCGAAUGGG
rnacentral:rRNA from 1 species